GGGGUCGAUUGGCUUUGACAGCGGGUGGAAUUGGUUAGUAAGCAUGUCGAGCGCUGAGAUACAGCUCGUAAAUAUCAUAUUUCAAACUUUUCAAACGGCGAAAAUAAUUACGCUUUAGCUGCUUAAUCUGAAUUUAUAGUAAGAUUUGCCUAGUUCCCACCAGGUGGGAAAGCUAGAUUCUCCUAAAAAGCCUUGGUUUAUGGCGUUUUUAAAAGGAGAACCGUAAAAGUAAACCUAGAGAUUGUAUUGCUUCGGUACAGUUUUGAAAAUUUAGAGGCUAAGUAAACAGUGGUCGUUUUCUGCCGAGCUGUUUAUCGAAAAACUAAUAGGAAACUAAACAUGUAGAAAGCUUUCGGAUUGCUCGUUUGGACCCGAGUUCGAUUCUCGGCGACUCCACCA
rnacentral:tmRNA from 1 species